GGUCUUCACAGAGCACCGCCUCCUCUCCCAAUCUCACCUCCUCCCCCAAUUCUCGUCUGCAAUAGGUGUGAUUCAUCUCUGCUCGAGGACGCUUCAUUUCCCGCUCAAGACAAAUUUUCCAGCGGUUUUUCCUCUUAAUUGAGAUCGAGAUUUCACAGUAUCCAGAUACCGUGGCUGCUAAACUGAAGGGAACUGCUGGAGUCAUAUAAAUGCGGCGUUGCGUGCAGAGCUGGAGAGGCUAAAUGCAGCAUCACACUAGCGUGGAGUUACGCUCGGAAUUUGCGAAAGAAAAUGAGAGUGUAUUAGAACAAUUGUUUACCCUUAGUGAAAAGUGAAAAGGUUAAUAGAAUGAGUAAAAACUCAGUGUAUAACAAUCUUAUUAAUUUUAUGUAAGUUUUGAAUUUUGAUAA